AAGGCAACAGAAAAAGACAUUUUUCUAAGUACAAUUUCAUAGAAAAGGAAAUAAAAGGAUUUUCCCCAACAUACAGCGUAUAGCUUCCAUGCUUAUCUGCUACCAAAUACAACUUGAAAAGGCCAUGUCAUGAAAUUGAGAAAAGGAUUGUAUUUAAAUUCAGCCAUUGCAUGAGCCUAUUUUGGUGGAAUCAUAGCUAACUAA
rnacentral:misc_RNA from 1 species